rnacentral:lncRNA from 1 species
AGCAGACCGCCGCACGAAGUGUUUGGCCACGCAACGGCCGUGGCCUUUUUCACCCUUUCGUGCCUUUUGGCGCGCGGCUGGCCCUCGCGUAAAAGGGAGGCGCGGCCUCGCAGAGGCACACCGACACAGGAUGACAAGAGCACGAAAAGGGAAGAAAAAGCACGAGAUCUGUACGCUCGCGCCAUACUGAGGGCAGACAGAAGAAAAAAGAAGAGGGGAAAAAGAGCCGUCAG